CUGACUUCCUCCAAGUGAUACUACCUACCUUCUCUGUCAAGCCCUCUGUCCCUAAACCAUCAUGUAUAAAAGGUGAAAUAGGAGCAUACUCUGAUUUCACAGUUUUAACUGUCAUCCUGUGACCCCAAAAGUCCAUCCCAGGAGGGUAUACACAUGAAGACAUUAAACAUAAAAGAAAUGGCCUGUGCUGAGCAACAGAGAAAGCUGUAUCAGAGAUAAAACCAAACAGAUGAAUUACCUCACAGGAUUGCUGGUCAAAGACACUCGGAGAGACUCCAGGCAUGUGACAAGUCUCUCAUCUGCAGACCCCAUUUUCAGCUCAUGAAUGAAUUCCUGAGAUUCACCAUCCAAUGGCAGGAAAUGAAUUGUGUAAGUUCAAAAGAAGAUCAGUGAAGUGGCAGGAAAUUAGGUGUUUUUCAUGUUUUUUGUUUUUAUUAAUUUAAUAUAAUGUUAUUCAAGAAAACAUUCCCAAUAAAGCAAAACAAAUUAGCACUGUAAA